UCGGGUGACUGCGUGCCUUUUGCAUAAUGAUCCUACGAGUUACUCCUCAUUAGCAAGGUUAAGUAGUUAAGCUACGUAGCCGAAGCGAAAGCAAGUCUGAAUAGGGCGUAUAGUUAGUGGGGGUAGACGCGAAACUUGGUGAUCUACCCAUGGGCAGGUUGAAGCUGUGGUAACACACAGUGGAGGACCGAACCCGUUGACGUUGAAAAGUCUUGGGAUGACCUGUGGGUAGGGGUGAAAGGCCAAUCAAGCUCGGAAAUAGCUCGUACUCCCCGAAAUGCAUUUAGGUGCAGCGUGUACAUAGUUUUAUAGAGGUAGAGCUACUGAUUGGAUGCGGGGGCUUCACCGCCUACCAAUUCCUGACAAACUCCGAAUGCUAUGAAAUGAUUGUGCGCAGUGAGGGCAUGGGUGCUAAGGUCCAUGUCCGAGAGGGAAAGAACCCGGACCAUCAGCUAAGGUCCCCAAGUGUGUGCUAAGUUGACAAAACGCGGUGGGACUGCAUAGACAGCCAGGAUGUUGGCUUGGAAGCAGCCAUUCAUUUAAAGAGUGCGUAACAGCUCACUGGUCGAGCGGUCCCGCAUGGAUAAUGAUCGGGCAUAAGCACACCACCGAAGCUAUGGCUUUGUAUUUAUACAAGGGGUAGGGGAGCAUUCCAUUCUGCGUUGAAGCGGGCCUGCGAGGUCCCGUGGAGCGUAUGGAAACGAAAAUGUAGGCAUAAGUAACGAUAAUGCGGGCGAGAAACCCGCACGCCGAAAGACCAAGGUUUCCCCGGCCAUGCUAAUCAGCCGGGGGUCAGUCGGGACCUAACACGAACCCGGAAGGGGCAGUGGAUGGACAAGCGGUUAAUAUUCCGCUACCCGCAAUGCGACAAAAGUGACGGGGCACCGGAGUUGGUGCGCACAGACGGAAUUGUGCGUUGAACCUUCGGGGAUAGUACACCAAGGCCACGGCCGCGGUGAUAAUCCAGCGUAGGUGCCUCCAAGAAAAGCGAGCAUUGCGGCCCGUACCGUAAACCGACACAGGUGGUCGGGAUGAGUAUUCUAAGGCGCUCGAGAGAUUCAUGGCUAAGGAACUAGGCAAAAUAGACCCGUAACUUCGGGAGAAGGGUCGCUCCGAUUUAUCGGAGCCGCAGUGAAUGGGCCCAGGCGACUGUUUAUCAAAAACACAGGGCUCUGCGAAGUCGCAAGACGACGUAUAGGGUCUGACGCCUGCCCGGUGCCGGAAG
rnacentral:rRNA from 1 species